GCUCAGCAGCACUCUUUCUCAAUUUUUUAACUAUUUAGAAAGUUGGGCUGUUGAGACC
rnacentral:pre_miRNA from 1 species